rnacentral:rRNA from 1 species
UACGGGGGGGGGUAAGCGUUGUUCGGAAUUACUGGGCGUAAAGGGUGUGUAGGCGGUUGUUUAAGUUUGGUGUGAAAUCUCCCGGCUCAACUGGGAGGGUGCGCCGAAUACUGAAUGACUAGAGUGCGGGAGAGGAAAGUGGAAUUCCUGGUGUAGCGGUGAAAUGCGUAGAUAUCAGGAGGAACACCGGUGGUGUAGACGGCUUUCUGGACCGUAACUGACGCUGAGACACGAAAGCGUGGGUAGCAAACAGG